rnacentral:misc_RNA from 1 species
AAGUCGUAACAAGGUUUCCGUAGGUGAACCUGCGGAAGGAUCAUUAACACGUAUCCAAACGUUAAAACCCCCCCCGUGAACCUUCAUCCUGCUCUUGUAACCCGCGUUAUAACUUGUAACCCGCGUUCAUGGAUAUCUUGGUUCUC